CCGCCAAGCAAGUUCAGUUCAUGCUCUGCUUACUGAGCCUCUCGUUCUAUCCCAUGGGAAAGAAUAACAAUGGCCACCACUCCUGACAUCAAGAGGACUUAUCCAGGCUACUUUGCAAGAAGACAGCCAGUCUCUUCAAUGGCUGUUGGUUCUGGGCACUCAUCCAGAGUGCCACAGAUACCUCUUUAUGCAUGAAGGAAGUACACGGGCUCUCACAACAUCGAUAUGAAGCUGAAAAGUUACCCCAAAGCUGAGCAUCUUAAUGUUGAAGCAAUGCUGGUGAUCAUCGCCUGCAACUUUCCAUUUUGUUACCAUAUUCCUGAGAGGGGGACAACCAUCCUCUGAACACCAACAAGAACAGGGAGUUCUCUCUCAAGAGAGCAGCCCACCUCAUUCAACAGCUCUAAUAACUAAAAUGCCUGCAGUUAUAUAGGGGUAUGACUUGGUCAUUUGUCUUCCAGACACGGAAGAAGUACAUGGCCAUGCUCCCAUUAUCUAAAUUCAGCCACUAAAGA
rnacentral:lncRNA from 1 species